GACUGGAGGAAAAAAGACGGAAUUUCCCAGAGUUCCUUGUAAACAAACAUAAGGCAAGACGACUACUUGUAAAACAAGCCAGCUAGCAAUAAUACGAAUUAUCUUCGAGCAGCUCGCUCGGGGAGGGAAGAAGCGGGACGGAUGAAUGAUUGCCAGCAGAGAGGAGGAGGCGGAUGUUUGAAGACGUUAAACCGACACCAGGAAGCACAACCACAAUCACCGCGGGGAUUUAUUUAUGCUUCCCCUGUCUCCCGUGAUUGACCUGUUUGCCUCGACUUCCCACUGGAUUCCGGACUGCCUCCCUCGAUCCUCGACCCCCGCUUGGACACGGACCUCGUUGCUUCUCUCCAGCCCCGACCGUUUGCCUGCCCACAGACAGCCUUCUCGCCUAACCCCUUUGGUCUGACGAAGGAUUCAUCCAACACGCACAUACAACAACCUCUGGUAACAUUCACAUGGUUAAUUCUACACAUCGUCUUGCACCUGACACUUAGAGUAGCAUACA